rnacentral:rRNA from 1 species
AGAUUGAACGCUGGCGGAAUGCUUUACACAUGCAAGUCGAACGGCAGCACGGGGGCAACCCUGGUGGCGAGUGGCGAACGGGUGAGUAACACAUCGGAACGUGCCCAGUCGUGGGGGAUAACGUAGCGAAAGCUACGCUAAUACCGCAUACGAACUCUGGUUGAAAGCGGGGGACCUGCAAGGGCCUCGCGCGAUUGGAGCGGCCGAUGGCAGAUUAGGUAGUUGGUGGGGUAAAGGCUCACCAAGCCGACGAUCUGUAGCUGGUCUGAGAGGACGACCAGCCACACUGGGACUGAGACACGGCCCAGACUCCUACGGGAGGCAGCAGUGGGAAUAUUGGACAAUGGGCGCAAGCCUGAUCCAGCCAUGCCGCGUGAGUGAAGAAGGCCCUAGGGUUGUAAAGCUCUUUCAGCGGGGACGAUAAUGAC